rnacentral:lncRNA from 1 species
GUAUCAUGCUGUAACAGAAAAACCUAUGGUCACAGGAAAAGAAAAGGCUGGAAAACAUCUAAGCAGGGAAUGCUGUGGCCGAUGAAUAGGCAUGGUGGGAUCCUCUCACAAGGAUUCCGGUGAGUAUGAGGAACUAGUAAUUACACACUUCUCUACUUCCUUCUAUCAUUUAGGAGAUAAAUAAAAUUCAAGAUACCUCAGGCCCUCAGCAAGUCACGUCUGGAUGACAAGAAAACAAGAAAACGUGAUGCUGUCUGAGCAACUGGUACAGGAAGCCUGGACUCAUCACUGAGGAAAUCAGAGCUUCUUUGCAAAAGAUGGUGACAAUCUGUGGCCAAGAUGCUGCCGGAAGAUGACUACAGGCACAGGAGAGGAGUUUCAGGCAGUUCCACUAAGAAAGUUCCCAUCUCAAGAGGAUGCUGUUUGAUUUCUUGUUAUUUGCCAUCUGUGUGAUCCACGGGGAAAAAAAAGGUAUUAAAGAAGAGAAGCAUAUUAAUGUUAUUACUCCUUUCUAACUUUACAGAGUGGCUAUUCUUUUAAAUUCUUUUGAGACAAACACCUGAAAGAAAAUAUUGAUAUGUGAGAUAAGCAAUAAGCAGUGUUUGAACACAUGCAUAUGUUAAAGGACACCAUUAAAAUGAAAAAUAACUCUAGAAAGGAAACAAAGCAUGCAAAAUUGCCUUAUGUGGCUUGCUAGAAGUAAAAUAAAUGUUGAAAAACUAGAGUUUGCUUCUUAAAAAGCAAGCAGAGCUAAAGGUAUAUCUUGCAAUAUAUAGUUUACUAGUGACAAA